rnacentral:rRNA from 1 species
GUAGGCGGCAAGCGUUGUCCGGAAUUAUUGGGCGUAAAGCGCGCGCAGGCGGUUCUUUAAGUCUGAUGUGAAAGCCCACGGCUCAACCGUGGAGGGUCAUUGGAAACUGGAGAACUUGAGUACAGAAGAGGAAAGCGGAAUUCCACGUGUAGCGGUGAAAUGCGUAGAGAUGUGGAGGAACACCAGUGGCGAAGGCGGCUUUCUGGUCUGUAACUGACGCUGAGGCGCGAAAACGUGGGGAGCAAACAGGGAUUAGAUACCCUGGUAGUCCACGCCGUAAACGAUGAGUGCUAAGUGUUAGGGGGGUUUCCGCCCCCUUAGUGCUGCAGCUAACGCAUUAAGCACUCCGCCUGGGGAGUACGACCGCAAGGUUG